GGUGACUGUAGUGAAUGUAGAGUAUCUAACAAGAUGACAUCACACUGUACCUCUGUGAAGUCAGGAGAGGCGCCACAGAGGAAACAAUGGUGAAUCUGACAAGUUAAAGACAUGCUGAGUCGAGGUUGGCCCUCACCUCUCUGACAGCUUCUGUAAGAAUAAAAUAAGGAGGGUUGCCAGAGCAUCAUUCAGAUCCCUUUGUCCAUUAUAGCAUAAUAUGUGAUCCAAUUUUUCUAUAAUAGAAAUGGAGCUGAAGAAAUGCUAUCCAGUAAGAAAAGAGAAAUUCUAUGCUUCAAUCGUAGGAUGCAAAUGAGAGGAGAAAACAUUGUGUCCAAAAACAAGAGAGAGACAAAAUACAAGUAUGCCACUUAUCCAGCCAUAGGAUCUUGGCAAAAACUGAGCCUCUCUAGUUCCAUUUGACUUCACUGGGAGGAUGCAACUUGGCAAAACACAGUGAUACUGGGCUGCAAAAGGUCUGUAAAAACAUCAGUGGUCCCACGUGGGAGUCAGUACAUCCACCAUUUGAACUAGAUUGCAUUGGCUCUGUUGGCAGUAAUAUGGGUGCAUGGAUGCAGUUACCACUAAAAGGCUUUUCAUACUGUGACAAUCAGAUUCCCUGGUGCUCAGAUAUUACAUUCAUUUUCUAACUCAUUCAUCAUGUGAAUGGAAUGAGGAAAUAAUGGGAUCUGUUCCUCAUACUUAUCCAUCAUUUAGCGAGGACACCACAUUCUGCUUUUUUGGAUUAAAAAAGAAAGAUAAGUAAGAGGCUUAGCACUUCUAACAUCUGACAGUCCUAGAACUCGUGAGCACUAACGUCACCGUGGGAACCAUAUCACAACAGACAAGUCCUUGAGAAAGAGACAGUAUGAUGAAUCUAGCAGAGUCUACCAGGCAAUUGCAGGCAGGCAUACCUUCAAGACCCUCAUUAUUA
rnacentral:lncRNA from 13 species